rnacentral:lncRNA from 1 species
AGAAGCUCCCCGACUGAGCACCUUGUGACCCCCGCCCCUGCCCACCAGAGAACAACCCCCUUUGACUGUAAUUUUCCAUUACCUUCCCAAAUCCUAUAAAACGGCCCCACCCCUAUCUCCCUUCGCUGACUCUCUUUUCGGACUCAGCCCGCCUGCACCCAGGUGAAAUAGACAGCCAUGUUGCUCACACAAAGCCUGUUUGCUGGUCUCUUCACACUGACUCGAGUGAAAUUUGGUGCCGUGACUAGGAUCGGGGGACCUCCCUUGGGAGAUCAAUCCCCCGUCCUCCUACACUUUGCUCUGUGAGAAAGAUCCACCUACAACCUCAGGUCCUCAGACCAACCAGCCCAAGAAACAUCUCACCAAUUUCAAAUCCGUGAUAGAUCACAACAAGAGAUCAUGAAGAGGGCAUGGCCGCCAUGUCAUUCUGGAGAGAGACAGAGUAAAACAAAGAAGCCUCUCUACAAGUCUCCUAACUUAACCUGAUGGGAAAACACUUCCUACCACUAACAGCAUCUACUUGAUUACUGAUACUUUGAUCAUGGAGUUUGGGCAUGCCACUUGAUAGAAAUUUGAAGAGCAAUUAUAUUUUUCAAAAAGAGUUUUGAAUAAUGUUAAGAUAGAUUGCAACAUGACUAUCAAUUCUUCCCUUCCCAUCAAAGGAGAGAGUCCGUUUAUCCAGCCUUUGAAUCUUGAUUAUUCAUGUGACUUGCUUCACCCAAUGUAACAUUAAUAAGCACAAUACAAGCAGAGGCUUGCCAAGAACUUGGUUUGUUUCUAAUGCUUAGAAGAAGAAUGGUGUAUGCCAUAUUUCUGCAUUUAGAACUCACGUGGAGACAUGUGUGGCCCAAUUGCUUCUCUUUCAUCUCAGGCAAUAACCAGACACGGGACUGAGGCCAUCCAUGACCAGCCAGCCCUAGCCAACACACAACACACAAGCUGAUCACAGAUGCAUGAGUAAGCCUGAGACCAGCCAAGACCAGCCUAGAAUAGAACUGCUCAGCAGCAAUAAAAACUAAAUAAAUUGUUACCUUAAGCUACUUUUAGAGCUAUUUGGAAGUGUAUUUUUGUGCAGCUAACAUUUACUAGCAGAUAAAAUGGUGAUUGUUUAUCUCUGUUUUAUUGAUGUUUUAAGGAAAUUGUUUCUAUUAAAAGGAAAUAUCUGGUCUUUGUCACGUUAAA